rnacentral:rRNA from 1 species
AGUGAACGCUGGCGGUAGGCCUAACACAUGCAAGUCGAACGGCAGCACAGUAAGAGCUUGCUCUUACGGGUGGCGAGUGGCGGACGGGUGAGGAAUACAUCGGAAUCUACUUUUUCGUGGGGGAUAAGGUAGGGAAACUUACGCUAAUACCGCAUACGCCCUACGGGUGAAAGCAGGGGAUCUUCGGACCUUGCGCGAUUGAAUGCGCCGAUGUCGGAUUAGCUAGUUGGCGGGGUAAAGGCCCACCAAGGCGCCGAUCCGUAGCUGGUCUGAGUGGAUGAUCAGCCACACUGGAACUGAGACACGGUCCAGACUCCUACGGGAGGCAGCAGUGGGGAAUAUUGGACAAGGGGCGCAAGCCUGAUCCAGCCAUACCGCGUGGGUGAAGAAGGCCUUCGGGUUGUAAAGCCCUGUUGUUGGGAAAGAAAAGCAGCAGGUUAAUACCCCGCUGUUCUGACGGUACCCAAAGAAUAAGCACCGGCUAACUUCGUG